CUGCGUUUUCCUCUUGCCUUUUCAACCCAGAGGCCUCAAUAGCUUUGGCCUAGUCAUCCUUUCUCCUUGUCUUCUCUUCAGGGCUGUUUCUUCCUGGGACAGUUGUAUUUUUAACACAUUUUCCCAAGAGUUGCUGCAGCCACUCUGUGUGAGCCCCGCAUCCUACCACAGCCUUAGGGACAGCAAGGUCACCAGCUCUAGAAGCUCUGCCUUCAGAACGGCCCACUCUGCAGCCAGCCCCAUGAAGACAUCUCUUGGGUGCCUGGUGUUGUAAAAUUUAACCAAAUCCAGAGCCAUGAUUCCAAA